AGAAUCAACGCUGGCGGCGUGCCUAACACAUGCAAGUCGCACGAGAAAGGGGAGCAAUCCCUGAGUAAAGUGGCGCACGGGUGAGUAACACGUGAAUAAUCUACCUCCGAGUGGGGAAUAACUGAGAGAAAUCUUAGCUAAUACCGCAUAACACUUACGAGUCAAAGCAGCAAUGCGCUUGGAGAGGAGUUCGCGGCCGAUUAGCUAGUUGGCGGGUAAUGGCCCACAAGGCGAUGAUCGGUA
rnacentral:rRNA from 1 species